UGUAGUUAAUUCUGAACCGCUCUUUAAAUUAACUUUUAAUUUGUUAUGUUGGAUACCAGAACAGCACAUAGAGAUGCAGCGCAGAAGAAGAUACCAAAAAUAUUGACGACAUUAUCUGUACUUGUACCAAGACAAACUCUUUUUAACUGAAAGAAACAACGAUGACCGAAAAAAAUAUUCUAGAUUAUUUAUCAAGAUACUUAUACGGUAAUAUAAACAGGAAAACAAGUGAGAAUGAGACAGAGACAAGAAAAAAGUUGGCAGUAAAAAAAGAAAAAAGACAACAAAUAAUCAUUUGCUGAAGUCUGUGCAAGAGAAAUUAAAAUAUGAAACACUGAAAAUGGAGACACAUUUGGUUUAAUCUCAAGUGAUGAGGAAGAGUAUGUUAUUAAUUCAAGUGACCCA